rnacentral:rRNA from 1 species
UACGGGGGGGGCAAGCGUUGUUCGGAAUUACUGGGCGUAAAGGGCUCGUAGGCGGCCAACUAAGUCAGACGUGAAAUCCCUCGGCUUAACCGGGGAACUGCGUCUGAUACUGGAUGGCUAGAGAUUGGGAGAGGGAUGCGGAAUUCCAGGUGUAGCGGUGAAAUGCGUAGAUAUCUGGAGGAACACCGGUGGCGAAGGCGGCAUCCUGGACCAACACUGACGCUGAGGAGCGAAAGCCAGGGGAGCAAACAGG